rnacentral:rRNA from 1 species
UGAACGCUAGCUACAGGCUUAACACAUGCAAGUCGAGGGGCAGCAUGAAUCAAGCUUGCUUGAUUUGAUGGCGACCGGCGCACGGGUGCGUAACACGUAUCCAAUCUACCCAUGGCUCAGGGAUAGCCUUUCGAAAGAAAGAUUAAUACCUGAUGGUUUCAUGAGCCCGCAUGGACUUAUGAAUAAAGAUUUAUCGGCGAUGGAUGAGGAUGCGUCCGAUUAGCUUGUUGGCGGGUAACGGCCCACCAAGGCGACGAUCGGUAGGGGCUCUGAGAGGAGGAUCCCCCACAUUGGAACUGAGACACGGUCCAAACUCCUACGGGAGGCAGCAGUGAGGAAUAUUGGUCAAUGGGCGAGAGCCUGAACCAGCCAAGUAGCGUGAGGGAUGACUGCCCUAUGGGUUGUAAACCUCUUUUGUUUGGGAAUAAAGUGAGCCACGCGUGGCUUUUGUAUGUACCUUACGAAUAAGCAUCGGCUAAUUCCGUGCC